rnacentral:rRNA from 1 species
CAGUCGCCGCGGGAAUACGGAGGGGGCUAGCGUUGUUCGGAAUUACUGGGCGUAAAGCGCACGUAGGCGGCUUUGUAAGUUAGAGGUGAAAGCCCGGAGCUCAACUCCGGAAUUGCCUUUAAGACUGCAGAGCUAGCAGGUGAGAGAGGUGAGUGGAAUUCCGAGUGUAGAGGUGAAAUUCGUAGAUAUUCGGAAGAACACCAGUGGCGAAGGCGGCUCACUGGCUCAUACUGGACGCUGAGGUGCGAAAGCGUGGGGAGCAAACAGGAUUAGAUACCCGAGUAGUCCUUGUCUCUUAUAC